GAAGGAGGAUAUGGAAGUGGGCUUGCUUUUGUGCUUCCGAGAAAAUAGCGUCAAGUGAAGGGGGGGAGAUACGAGAGUCCCGUUUUUGCUGCAAUGUAAAACACAUGUGUUGACGCCAACUGCGAGGUCAUGGAGAGCUUUCUCACCGCCAUCUUUUAAGCGCGAUCGAUUUAUCUUCCACUUGUGCCGAGCCUGUUGCCUUGUGAUUUUAUCAACUUGUUUCAAAAGCUCUACUCUGGAUGCACCUCGUGGUCUCUGAUAUAGCACCGGUAUUGGAAAUGUAGACGACAAUUCUAACGUCAAGCCACACAGGCAUCCUCAAAUGAUUCGUUUCGCCGCACAUCUGGUUCUGCGGAAGGAUUGAAGGACAAUACGGGGACAGGCUUGAAUUGGCUGGAGAUUGAAUCCUGAGCACGUACGUGAGGUUUGUAUUCACGCAACACAAGGAAGAGCUCGUUGGCCCUCAUCCCUCUCAGAUCUUUACGUGGAUAUGAUGGAGCUGCGGCAGCCUCCCGUUGUAUGGCAGAAUUCCAACAGCGUUUGGUUUUCCGAGAGAUCUCGCUAACGCCGCUAUGGUGCAGUGUUGAGAUUUCGGAAGGAGAAAGCAGAGCCAUUAAAAAAAAGAACGUUGCUGCCUGUUUUUGUUUUUUGUAUUUUUUUUUCCCGGGACUUCGUUUUUUCAGCAAGAAUACUUUUCUUGUGACGCACAUUAUCGAAGCUGGCUAUCAACAAUUGAGAACUGCAUUUCACCUGAAGAAAGAGCAAGGUCCUUUGCUACUGCAAAACAAGCUCUUGACACAGCUACUGCUUUUCUUCACAGUAGCGAAUGAAAGUGGCUUCUCACCAACGAUGAAGCCUUCCAAUCCGUGGAACUAUUUUCCACUGUCGUUUUUUGGAGAUCAUCGGAUCCUUGAUUUGCUCCAGAUCCUACAGUUUGCACUGCUCCGAACAGCGCAUUGCAUUUUUGCUCGGGAGAGCUGGCUUCCAUUCAACGCAACUUAACGGUGAAUGUGGCUGUCAAUCCUCAGAGCAAUAUGUUACUGGAUAUAGAGCUCAAAUGUGCGGCUCUUGAAGGGGAAGGCAUUGAAUCACUUGUAACAAGUGAUGGUGGAUUUUUGUCAUUGAAGGUUUACUUUUCGCCCUGGACAUCAGGAUUAAUUUCUUCUCUUUUUCCUUUUGUUGCAGGAGAACUUCCACAUUUUCAUCCUGAAGUUUUUCGAAUGGAUGCGUUUUCUAUUCACUCGGAUGGUGUACGCCGGGAUGCUCCAUUCGUGAUUUAUUUGCCGUCGUUGCUGCUUUCCAGAACUUGUGCUACGAUGCAUGGAGAUUCGUGGCUGGCUUCCGGUCUUGAAAUGACAGCAAGUGAUAAUCCUGACUGGUUGCGUCGGGAGCUCUUCAGGGACUGUUUAGCGGCAGUCAGCUAGAGGUUUGGGGGGCAAUUUGGUGAAAGUACCGCGGAAAUACUCAUGGAGCUCCUCGUCCUUAUGCCUCUAAUCUAGCUGGUGCGGAUCUUUACGUGCAUAUGAUGGAGCACGGCAGAAUGACAGCAAUGCCAUUCUACGUCCGUGACGGCUAUUUGGUAAUGCGAUGCUUCUCUAGUUUCUUUGAGAAGUCUCGUGAACUCAAAACAUCCGUUAAUUGAAAGCUGAAGAUACAAAGAGAGUCGAACUUACAGACAGGACAUUCUGUGCAAUAAAUGGACUUUACUUCUCGAGCAGGUCUACCAGAUUCGGACACAGUUGCGUACUCUCUUGACAAACACAGAGCUUAAAGAAGUAGUAGACUUACGAACCUGUACUUCUGCCUGAGGACUAUCAGGUUUUCUUUUAAGGUUCUCGAGAUCUGAUCAUUUCCUGCAAUAGAAGAGAGCUUGCUGCGUUCCAGAACUUCUGCUGCGAUUGCGAUCCAUUCAGUCGGGAGCUCGCAGGGACUGUUUCAGCGCAACUAGAGGUAUUGUCACAUUUUCCACAAGCUUCAUAGAUGUGCACAGAAUGAAGGCCGGAGGCCGGAGAAAGCCACUGGAUUUGUGAAAGCCUGAGCAAAAAGCUACAUUCUUUUCUACGAAGCCACUCCAAGAUAUCAAAGAAGGACGCUCUUAUUCUUUUUUGA